AGUGAACGCUGGCGGUAGGCCUAACACAUGCAAGUCGAACGGCAGCACAGUAAGAGCUUGCUCUUACGGGUGGCGAGUGGCGGACGGGUGAGGAAUACAUCGGAAUCUACCUUUUCGUGGGGGAUAACGUAGGGAAACUUACGCUAAUACCGCAUACGACCUACGGGUGAAGGCAGGGGAUCUUCGGACCUUGCGCGAUUGAAUGAGCCGAUGUCGGAUUAGCUAGUUGGCGGGGUAAAGGCCCACCAAGGCGACGAUCCGUAGCUGGUCUGAGAGGAUGAUCAGCCACACUGGAACUGAGACACGGUCCAGACUCCUACGGGAGGCAGCAGUGGGGAAUAUUGGACAAUGGGCGCAAGCCUGAUCCAGCCAUACCGCGUGGGUGAAGAAGGCCUUCGGGUUGUAAAGCCCUUUUGUUGGGAAAGAAAAGCAGCAGGUUAAUACCCCGCUGUUCUGACGGUACCCAAAGAAUAAGCACCGGCUAACUUCGUG
rnacentral:rRNA from 1 species